GGUUAAGCGACUAAGCGUACACGGUGGAUGCCCUGGCAGUCAGAGGCGAUGAAGGACGUGCUAAUCUGCGAUAAGCGUCGGUAAGGUGAUAUGAACCGUUAUAACCGGCGAUUUCCGAAUGGGGAAACCCAGUGUGUUUCGACACACUAUCAUUAACUGAAUCCAUAGGUUAAUGAGGCGAACCGGGGGAACUGAAACAUCUAAGUACCCCGAGGAAAAGAAAUCAACCGAGAUUCCCCCAGUAGCGGCGAGCGAACGGGGAGCAGCCCAGAGCCUGAAUCAGUGUGUGUGUUAGUGGAAGCGUCUGGAAAGGCGCGCGAUACAGGGUGACAGCCCCGUACACAAAAAUGCACAUACUGUGAGCUCGAUGAGUAGGGCGGGACACGUGGUAUCCUGUCUGAAUAUGGGGGGACCAUCCUCCAAGGCUAAAUACUCCUGACUGACCGAUAGUGAACCAGUACCGUGAGGGAAAGGCGAAAAGAACCCCGGCGAGGGGAGUGAAAAAGAACCUGAAACCGUGUACGUACAAGCAGUGGGAGCCUCUUUAUGGGGUGACUGCGUACCUUUUGUAUAAUGGGUCAGCGACUUAUAUUCUGUAGCAAGGUUAACCGAAUAGGGGAGCCGAAGGGAAACCGAGUCUUAACUGGGCGUUAAGUUGCAGGGUAUAGACCCGAAACCCGGUGAUCUAGCCAUGGGCAGGUUGAAGGUUGGGUAACACUAACUGGAGGACCGAACCGACUAAUGUUGAAAAAUUAGCGGAUGACUUGUGGCUGGGGGUGAAAGGCCAAUCAAACCGGGAGAUAGCUGGUUCUCCCCGAAAGCUAUUUAGGUAGCGCCUCGUGAAUUCAUCUCCGGGGGUAGAGCACUGUUUCGGCAAGGGGGUCAUCCCGACUUACCAACCCGAUGCAAACUGCGAAUACCGGAGAAUGUUAUCACGGGAGACACACGGCGGGUGCUAACGUCCGUCGUGAAGAGGGAAACAACCCAGACCGCCAGCUAAGGUCCCAAAGUCAUGGUUAAGUGGGAAACGAUGUGGGAAGGCCCAGACAGCCAGGAUGUUGGCUUAGAAGCAGCCAUCAUUUAAAGAAAGCGUAAUAGCUCACUGGUCGAGUCGGCCUGCGCGGAAGAUGUAACGGGGCUAAACCAUGCACCGAAGCUGCGGCAGCGACGCUUAUGCGUUGUUGGGUAGGGGAGCGUUCUGUAAGCCUGUGAAGGUGUGCUGUGAGGCAUGCUGGAGGUAUCAGAAGUGCGAAUGCUGACAUAAGUAACGAUAAAGCGGGUGAAAAGCCCGCUCGCCGGAAGACCAAGGGUUCCUGUCCAACGUUAAUCGGGGCAGGGUGAGUCGACCCCUAAGGCGAGGCCGAAAGGCGUAGUCGAUGGGAAACAGGUUAAUAUUCCUGUACUUGGUGUUACUGCGAAGGGGGGACGGAGAAGGCUAUGUUGGCCGGGCGACGGUUGUCCCGGUUUAAGCGUGUAGGCUGGUUUUCCAGGCAAAUCCGGAAAAUCAAGGCUGAGGCGUGAUGACGAGGCACUACGGUGCUGAAGCAACAAAUGCCCUGCUUCCAGGAAAAGCCUCUAAGCAUCAGGUAACAUCAAAUCGUACCCCAAACCGACACAGGUGGUCAGGUAGAGAAUACCAAGGCGCUUGAGAGAACUCGGGUGAAGGAACUAGGCAAAAUGGUGCCGUAACUUCGGGAGAAGGCACGCUGAUAUGUAGGUGAAGUCCCUUGCGGAUGGAGCUGAAAUCAGUCGAAGAUACCAGCUGGCUGCAACUGUUUAUUAAAAACACAGCACUGUGCAAACACGAAAGUGGACGUAUACGGUGUGACGCCUGCCCGGUGCCGGAAGGUUAAUUGAUGGGGUUAGCGGUAACGCGAAGCUCUUGAUCGAAGCCCCGGUAAACGGCGGCCGUAACUAUAACGGUCCUAAGGUAGCGAAAUUCCUUGUCGGGUAAGUUCCGACCUGCACGAAUGGCGUAAUGAUGGCCAGGCUGUCUCCACCCGAGACUCAGUGAAAUUGAACUCGCUGUGAAGAUGCAGUGUACCCGCGGCAAGACGGAAAGACCCCGUGAACCUUUACUAUAGCUUGACACUGAACAUUGAGCCUUGAUGUGUAGGAUAGGUGGGAGGCUUUGAAGUGUGGACGCCAGUCUGCAUGGAGCCGACCUUGAAAUACCACCCUUUAAUGUUUGAUGUUCUAACGUUGGCCCCUGAUCGGGGUUGCGGACAGUGUCUGGUGGGUAGUUUGACUGGGGCGGUCUCCUCCUAAAGAGUAACGGAGGAGCACGAAGGUUGGCUAAUCCUGGUCGGACAUCAGGAGGUUAGUGCAAUGGCAUAAGCCAGCUUGACUGCGAGCGUGACGGCGCGAGCAGGUGCGAAAGCAGGUCAUAGUGAUCCGGUGGUUCUGAAUGGAAGGGCCAUCGCUCAACGGAUAAAAGGUACUCCGGGGAUAACAGGCUGAUACCGCCCAAGAGUUCAUAUCGACGGCGGUGUUUGGCACCUCGAUGUCGGCUCAUCACAUCCUGGGGCUGAAGUAGGUCCCAAGGGUAUGGCUGUUCGCCAUUUAAAGUGGUACGCGAGCUGGGUUUAGAACGUCGUGAGACAGUUCGGUCCCUAUCUGCCGUGGGCGCUGGAGAACUGAGGGGGGCUGCUCCUAGUACGAGAGGACCGGAGUGGACGCAUCACUGGUGUUCGGGUUGUCAUGCCAAUGGCACUGCCCGGUAGCUAAAUGCGGAAGAGAUAAGUGCUGAAAGCAUCUAAGCACGAAACUUGCCCCGAGAUGAGUUCUCCCUGACUCCUUGAGAGUCCUGAAGGAACGUUGAAGACGACGACGUUGAUAGGCCGGGUGUGUAAGCGCAGCGAUGCGUUGAGCUAACCGGUACUAAUGAACCGUGAGGCUUAACCUU
rnacentral:rRNA from 1 species